UACAGGGGGGCAAGCGUUGUUCGGAAUUACUGGGCGUAAAGGGCUCGUAGGUGGCCAACUAAGUCAGACGUGAAAUCCCUCAGCUUAACUGGGGAACUGCGUCUGAUACUGGAUGGCUUGAGUUUGGGAGAGGGAUGCGGAAUUCCAGGUGUAGCGGUGAAAUGCGUAGAUAUCUGGAGGAACACCGGUGGCGAAGGCGGCAUCCUGGACCAAUACUGACACUGAGGAGCGAAAGCCAGGGGAGCAAACGGG
rnacentral:rRNA from 1 species